UGUGGGGUAGUAUAUCGAGUACGUUAGGUUUUGGUCCUGAAAGUGGAAGUUAUAAUUCUUCUUCCCGCAG
rnacentral:tRNA from 1 species